rnacentral:lncRNA from 1 species
GGCCCACCUUCCCUCCAUUAGACUUUUUGGGCCACUAGAUGCUGGUGGAAUCAGCAAUGGAGACACUAGCUUCUGACCAGCCUCUUCCAAGAAAUCUACAGACGCCUUACCACUAGGAAUCCUGUAGAAGUGCCCCCUAUUGAUACAACCCUAGAACUUUCCUGGAUACUCCAGAAGAGAACCCAAAAACAUCACCUGAAACAAGGCACAAACUCCAAACAGUAUUAUAGCCACAGCUGGAUCACCUGCCUCGCCCAAUGGAAGCAAUGAUACUACACAGCCACCAGCUCAGUCAGCUCCAGCCAGCUCAUAUGUUUUUACCCAGGUUCCAUUUUCCCAACCUCUUUUGAAGCUAAAACCAUCAACAAAAUUCUGGACAAGACUCUACUGGUUAUAGUCCAAUCUCUGGUUCUCCAAGGCUCUCUGCUCAAAAAUACAGAUGACUUUCCAGAGCUACAGAACACUUUGAGAGGUGACCUGCCAUUCUCUAGGACCUGGCUGACUAGAAGCAGAGGGCAGAAUAUUGGCUAUGUUUGGUUGGUUAACACUCACAAAGUCAGUUAUAUCAGGAUGGCAUUAAAGCUUGAAUUUGUCUGUCAUUCUAUCAACUGAAGCAAGAUCAAGCCCUCAGAGGAAGAAGAAAAAUUCCCAGGGAGGGGCUUUGAGUGGGAGCAGCCGCCUUUUGACAAAAUCACCUGAGUUAGGUUAGCACUGAUGAAACAGGAGAUGGAACUACAUAUAGAGCAAGAACCAGUGACAUGAGGUUUAUAGUCCAGGAAAUAAGGAAAAUCCUGCAGCCAGACACAGAAGUGUGUGCAUAAGGGAAGCUGUAGAAAACAAGUAGAGACUUUUAUGAUCUCAAUUCAAGGGAGGGGAAUCCAUCCAUGUCCUCCCACAGGAUGAUGAGGGGAACUCAACUGUAACUGAGAAUGCCAAAAGAUGUCACAUGAAUCUCCUUUCAU